GUUUCUAUCUAUGAAGCAACUUCCUCUAGUACGAAAGGACCGAGGAAGAAAGGCCCAUGCUUUAAGCACGCCUUACUCCGACCUGAUGAGACCAACUCAAACAGGCAAAGGAAUGCAAUUCCUGCGCCGCAGAUAACAGCAU
rnacentral:rRNA from 1 species